AUUGAACGCUGGCGGCAGGCCUAACACAUGCAAGUCGAGCGGAUGAAGGGAGCUUGCUCCUGGAUUCAGCGGCGGACGGGUGAGUAAUGCCUAGGAAUCUGCCUGGUAGUGGGGGAUAACGUCCGGAAACGGGCGCUAAUACCGCAUACGUCCUGAGGGAGAAAGUGGGGGAUCUUCGGACCUCACGCUAUCAGAUGAGCCUAGGUCGGAUUAGCUAGUUGGUGGGGUAAAGGCCUACCAAGGCGACGAUCCGUAACUGGUCUGAGAGGAUGAUCAGUCACACUGGAACUGAGACACGGUCCAGACUCCUACGGGAGGCAGCAGGAGGGAAUAUUGGACAAUGGGCGAAAGCAUGACGGAGCAAUGCCGCGUGAGGGAAGAAGGUCUUCGGAUCGUAAAGCUCUGUUAUUAGGAAAGAAAAAAAGUGGAAGAAAAGAUGGACGGCUUGACGGUACCUAAACAACAAGCAACGGCUAACUACGUG
rnacentral:rRNA from 1 species